CCUACGGGAUGCAGCAGUGGGGAAUAUUGGGCAAUGGCCGCAAGGCUGACCCAGCGACGCCGCGUGCGGGAUGACGCUUUUCGGAGUGUAAACCGCUGUCAGAGGGGAAGAAGACUUCGGGGGCGAAUAGUCCUCGGAGCUGACGGUACCUUCAGAGGAAGCGCCGGCUAACUCCGUGCCAGCAGCCGCGGUAAGACGGAGGGCGCGAGCGUUGUUCGGAAUUACUGGGCGUAAAGCGCGCGCAGGUGGGUGCGCAAGUCGGAGGUGAAAGCGCAGGGCUCAACCCUGCGACGCCCUUCGAGACUGCGUGUCUAGGGACCGGUAGAGGUGAGUGGAAUUCCCGGUGUAGCGGUGGAAUGCGUAGAUAUCGGGAAGAACACCGGAGGCGAAGGCGGCUCACUGGGCCGGAUCCGACACUGAGGCGCGAAAGCGUGGGGAGCAAACAGGAUUAGAUACCCUUGUAGUC
rnacentral:rRNA from 1 species